AUACGGAGGAUCCGAGCGUUAUCCGGAUUUAUUGGGUUUAAAGGGUGCGCAGGCGGGAGAUUAAGUCGGCGGUGAAAUUUUGCAGCUCAAAUGUAAAAGUGCCUUCGAAACUGGUUUCCUUGAGUGUAGAUGAAGUAGGCGGAAUUUGUGGUGUAGCGGUGAAAUGCAUAGAUAUCACGAGGAACUCCGAUUGCGCAGGCAGCUUACUAAACUACUACUGACGCUCAGGCACGAAGGCGUGGGGAUCAAACAGGAUUAGAUACCCUGGUAGUCCACGCAGUAAACGAUGAUUACUAGCUGUUUGCGAUACAAUGUAAGCGGCUGAGCGAAAGCGUUAAGUAAUCCGCCUGGGGAGUACGUUCGCAAGAAUGAAACUCAAAGGAAUUGACGGGG
rnacentral:rRNA from 1 species